rnacentral:rRNA from 1 species
CUACGGGGGGCAGCAGUGGGGAAUAUUGGACAAUGGGGGAAACCCUGAUCCAGCAAUGCCGCGUGUGUGAAGAAGGCCUGCGGGUUGUAAAGCACUUUCGGUUGGGAGGACUGCUUCUAGCACUAAUAUUGUUGGAAGUUGACGUUACCUUCAGAAGAAGCACCGGCUAGACUCCGUGCCAGCAGCCGCGGUAAUACGGAGGGUGCAAGCGUUAAUCGGAAUUACUGGGCGUAAAGCGCGCGUAGGCGGCUAGAUCAGUCGGGUGUGAAAGCCCCGGGCUCAACCUGGGAAUUGCAUUCGAUGCUGGCAAGAUAGAGUCUGGGAGAGGAAGGUAGAAUUCCAGGUGUAGCGGUGAAAUGCGUAGAGAUCUGGAGGAAUACCGAUGGCGAAGGCAGCCUUCUGGCCUAAUACUGACGCUGAGGUGCGAAAGCAUGGGGAGCAAACAGGAUUAGAUACCCCCGUAGUC